CCAGGAAUUUCCUUCUUGGAGGUGAAAGGAGAUUUGAGCAUCGGUGAUCUGGCCAAUGUCAUCAAAACCACCAGAGCAGACAAAGAUGCAUGGGUGACAUUCUACCCCACACGAGAUCAACAGACCAAGUGUAAAAGCUGUGGAGAAAAUGGGCUGAACGGUGACCUGCUCAUAACAUACGAUGUGGAGAGACAAAAUCCCAAAGGAGAAAUCUUGGUAGGGUUUUUUUUUUUUUUUUUUUUUUUUGUGCAAUGCAAAAAGCCCAGAAUGUAAUUAUUUUCCUGUUCUCUCAGGUGUCAAAAGGCUAUUUUGUCCACUACUUUGCUCCAUCUGUUGUUCCACGUAUUUCCAAAAAUGUGGUGUUCAUCAUUGACCGUAGUGGUUCUAUGAGCGGCUAAAAAAUAAAACAGACUCGAUUGGCACUGCUAAAGAUUUUAAGUGAUCUUGAUGAGGAUGACCACUUUGGAUUGAUCACCUUUGACAGUGAAGUUAGCUUAUGGUAGCGUGAGCUCCUCAAAGCUACUGAGGCAAAUCUGGAGAAUGCAAAAUCUUUUAUGAAGGAGAUCAGAGA